CCUACGGGGGGCAGCAGUGGGGAAUAUUGGUCAAUGGGGGAAACCCUGAUCCAGCGACGCCGCGUGAGUGAAGAAGUAUUUCGGUACGUAAAGCUCUAUCAGCAGGAAAGCAAAUGACGGUACCUGACUAAGAAGCCCCGGCUAACUACGUGCCAGCACCCGCGGUAAUACGUAGGGGGCAAGCGUUAUCCGGAUUUACUGGGUGUAAAGGGAGCGUAGACGGCAGCGCAAGUCUGGAGUGAAAUGCCGGGGCCCAACCCCGGAACCGCUCUGGA
rnacentral:rRNA from 1 species